rnacentral:rRNA from 1 species
ACGUAGGAUCCUAGCGUUGUCCGGAUUUACUGGGUGUAAAGGGUGCGCAGGCGGGCUUAUAAGUCAGUGGUGAAAUCUCGGCGCUUAACGCCGAAACUGCCUUUGAUACUAUAAGUCUUGAGUUUGGUAGAGAUCCGUGGAAUUCCGAGUGUAGCAGUGAAAUGUGUAGAUAUUCGGAAGAACACCAGCGGCGAAGGCAGCGGAUUGGGCCAAUACUGACGCUCAGGCACGAAAGCAUGGGGAUCAAACAGGA